rnacentral:rRNA from 1 species
CUGACAGACUUGAGAUCGGGAGAGGCUAGAGGUACUCCUGGGGUAGAGGUGAAAUUCUGUAAUCCUAGGGGGACCACCAGUGGCGAAGGCGUCUAGCUAGAACGAGUCUGACGGUGAGGGACGAAGCCCUGGGGCGCAAACGGGAUUAGAUACCCCGGUAGUCCAGGGUGUAAACGCUGCUUGCUUGAUGUUAGUCGGGCUCUGAGCCCGAUUAGUGUCGGAGAGAAGUUGUUUAGCAAGCUGCCUGGGAAGUACGGUCGCAAGACCUGAAACUUAAAGGAAUUGGCGGGGGAGCACAGCAACGGGUGGAGCGUGCGGUUUAAUUGGAUUCAACGCCGGAAAACUCACCGGAGGCGACGGUUAUAUGAAGGCCAGGCUGAUGACCCUUGCCCGAUUUUCCGAGAAGUGGUGCAUGGCCGCCGUCAGUUCGUACCGUAAGGCGUUCUGUUAAGUCAGACAACGAACGAGACCCUCAUCUUUAAUUGCUACUGGUAAGUCCGCUUAUCAGGCACAUUAACGAAACCGCUGGCGAUAAGUCAGAGGAAGGCGAGGGCAACGGUAGGUCAGUAUGCCCUGAAUCUUCCGGGCUACACGCGCGCUACAAAGGCCAGGACAAUGGGUUUCAACACUGAAAAGUGAAGGUAAUCCCGAAACCUGGUUAUAGUUCGGAUUGAGGGUUGUAACUCACCCUCAUGAAGUUGGAAUCCGUAGUAAUCGCAGAUCAUCAU